GACGAACGCUGGCGGCGUGCUUAACACAUGCAAGUCGAGCGGUAAGGCCCUUUCGGGGGUACACGAGCGGCGAACGGGUGAGUAACACGUGGGUGACCUGCCCUCAGCUCUGGGAUAAGCCUGGGAAACCGGGUCUAAUACUGGAUAUGACUCCAUGACGCAUGUCGUGGGGUGGAAAGCCUUGUGCGGCUGAGGAUGGGCCCGCGGCCUAUCAGCUUGUUGGUGGGGUGANGGCCUACCAAGGCGACGACGGGUAGCCGGCCUGAGAGGGCGACCGGCCACACUGGGACUGAGACACGGCCCAGACUCCUACGGGAGGCAGCAGUGGGGAAUCUUGCGCAAGUGGGACGAAAGCCUGACGCAGCGACGCCGCGUGAGGGAUGACGGCCUGGU
rnacentral:rRNA from 1 species